rnacentral:lncRNA from 1 species
CACUCAUAUGCUCCUAUAAAUACAAGGCCUUGGCCAGUUUUCUAAAUUUAACAAAAAAGAAAGAAUAUACGCCACUUUCCAUCUUCUUACAAAACCACGACAUUCCAAAACAACCACAAUUCAUGGCUCAUCUUAACUAUCUUGGUGAUCUACAAAUACAUUCUACAAACUGGUGUGGGUUUGUGAAGGUUUGUCCAUAUGGAAGCCCAUACGCGAUUCUUUGGGGAAGAGGAAGGAGAUGAUAUUAGUUAAUACAAGUGUAAUAAUCUUGUUUUUCCUUUAUAUAUGUUUCUUAUUUGAUAAAUACUCACAGAAAUUUUAGAGCAAAAAUAAUUGUGUUUUUUUUAUAAAAGGGAUGCAUGAUUGAUGCAACAAUUCCUUACAUUAGAUAUGAUCAACCAUUUCAUAAUAUAAUAAUAGAGGGUAACUGGUAUCUACUGAAGAAUUUUCACAUUUCCCUUAAUGAUUUACCCAUCAGAAAUUCACAUCAUCAUCUAAAAUUAACUAUUGUAUCAAACACAUUUAUGAAUGAGGUUAACGAAAAAUCUCGUAGUGAUUUUUCAACUUCACUUCACAUACCAAAAUUUGGACUGCCCAAGAGGAAGACAAAAAAUUUUGCGUAGAUAUGUUAUCAAUAUAAUAUUGUAUUUAAACAGAAAAAAUCUUGAUGUAUUACAUAGGCUAAAAAUUCAAUAUUUGAACGUUUGUUAUAUAAACUACAACUCGUCUCCUAAUAAAAAUGCAGAUGUGUGUGGAAUUUUAUCUAAUGUGUCUAAAAUCCGUGAAAUUAAUUGGGUGGACGGAGAAAAUGGGUAUAGGUAGCCCUGGGCAAAAAGCCCGUACCCGAAGCCCAAACCCGAGCCCGGCCCGUUAGGCCCGUACCGAACCCAAACCCGAUUAAAGAAGAUACCCGAUCGGGUUUUGGUUUUGAAACUUUCGGGUUCGGGUUCGGGUUCGGGUAAACCCGAAAACCCGAACAUAUCC